rnacentral:rRNA from 1 species
AUACGGAGGGUGCAAGCGUUGUUCGGAAUCACUGGGCGUAAAGAGUUCGUAGGCGGACUGAUAAGUAAGAGGUGAAAUCCCAGGGCUCAACCCUGGAACUGCCUUUUAAACUGUCAGUCUAGAGACCGGAAGAGGUUAGGGGAAUACCUAGUGUAGAGGUGAAAUUCGUAGAUAUUAGGUGGAACACCAGUGGCGAAGGCGCCUAACUGGUCCGGUACUGACGCUGAGGAACGAAAGCGUGGGGAGCAAACAGGAUUAGAAACCCUAGUAGUCC